GCAAACUUGGUCAUUUAGAGGAAGUAAAAGUCGUAACAAGGUCUCCGUUGGUGAACCAGCGGAGGGAUCAUUACUGAGUUCUACAAAACUCCCAACCCUUUGUGAAUUUUACUCUUGUUGCCUCGGCGCUGAGCGGCAGCUACCCGGGAGCUACCCUAGAGACACCUACCCUGUAGUUACCCUGUAGCUACCCGGGAGGUGGCUACCCUGGAGAGCUACCCUGGAGUUGCGUCUCACGCUCCGCCGGAGGACCCCCAAACUCUGUUUAGUAUAGUGUAUCUCUGAACUCUUUAACUAAAUACGUUAAAACUUUCAACAACGGAUCUCUUGGUUCUGGCAUCGAUGAAGAACGCAGC
rnacentral:misc_RNA from 1 species